rnacentral:rRNA from 1 species
UGCUUUGUAAAGAGCUGCGGUAUGAUGACUGUGCUAAGGUAGCAUAAUGAUUUGCUUUUUAAUUGGGGGCUUGAAUGAAAGGGUUAACGAGAUUAAAACUUUUUUAGAAAGUGGGUGUAAUUUUAUUUUUAAGUGAAAAAGCUUAAAUAUAUUAAAAAGACGAGAAGACCCCAAGAAUUUAGAUUGAUAAUUUAAUUUUGUUUAUAAUAACUUAAAUUAAAUGGAAAAUCUUGGCUGGGGCGGCUUGUGAGUAAAUUAACCUCAUAAUUUAUUUAACUAUUUAUAGGAUGCUUGAAGUUUCAGGAUUUGAUUGAAAAAUUACCUUGGGGAUAACAGCGUAAUUUUAGUUAAAAGUUCUUAUAAAAAUUAAAGUUUGCGACCUCGAUGUUGGAUUAAGAGUUAAUAUAA